AUACUUGGGAAGUGCCAUUUGAGGAGAUCUCAGAGCUGCAGUGGCUGGGUAGUGGAGCCCAAGGAGCGGUCUUCUUGGGGAAGUUCCGGGCAGAAGAGGUGGCCAUCAAGAAAGUGAGAGAACAGAAUGAGACGGAUAUCAAGCAUUUGAGGAAGUUGAAGCACCCUAACAUCAUCGCAUUCAAGGGUGUUUGUACUCAGGCCCCAUGUUAUUGUAUUAUCAUGGAAUACUGUGCCCAUGGACAACUCUACGAGGUCUUGCGAGCUGGCAGGAAGAUCACACCUCGGUUGCUAGUAGACUGGUCCACAGGAAUUGCAAGUGGAAUGAAUUAUUUGCACCUCCAUAAAAUUAUUCAUCGUGAUCUCAAAUCACCUAAGUGAGUUCUGGGGCUAAUGUUUCAGCUAUUUUGGUUUGUUGUUUUGAAAUACAGAAUUUUUAUCAACCUCA
rnacentral:sRNA from 1 species